GUGGGGAAUAUUGGACAAUGGGCGAAAGCCUGAUCCAGCCAUGCCGCGUGUGUGAAGAAGGUCUUCGGAUUGUAAAGCACUUUAAGUUGGGAGGAAGGGCAGUAAGUUAAUAACUUGCUGUUUUGACGUUACCGACAGAAUAAGCACCGGCUAACUUCGUGCCAGCAGCCGCGGUAAUACGAAGGGUGCAAGCGUUAAUCGGAAUUACUGGGCGUAAAGCGCGCGUAGGUGGUUUUGUAAGUUGGAGGUGAAAUCCCCGGGCUCAACCUUGGAACUGCCUACAAAACAGCAUGACUAGAGUACGGUAGAGGGUAGUUGAAUUGCCUGUGUAGCGGUGAAAUGCGUAGAUAUAAGAAGGAACACCAGUGGCGAAAGCGACUACCUGGACUGAUACUGACACUGAGGUGCGAAAGCGUGGGGAGCAAACAGGAUUAGAUACCCGGGUAGUCC
rnacentral:rRNA from 1 species